UACGGGGGGGGCAAGCGUUGUUCGGAAUUACUGGGCGUAAAGGGCGCGUAGGCGGUCUGUUAAGUCGGAUGUGAAAACUCUGGGCUCAACCCAGAGCCUGCAUCCGAAACUGGCAGGCUAGAGUUCUGGAGGGGGUAGCGGAAUUCCGGGUGUAGCGGUGGAAUGCGUAGAGAUCCGGAAGAACACCGGUGGCGAAGGCGGCCUGCUGGGCAGUUGCUGACACUGAGGCGCGACAGCGUGGGGAGCAAACAGG
rnacentral:rRNA from 1 species